rnacentral:rRNA from 1 species
UACGUAGGGUGCAAGCGUUAAUCGGAAUUACUGGGCGUAAAGCGUGCGCAGGCGGCUUUGCAAGACAGUUGUGAAAUCCCACGGCUCAACCGUGGAAGUGCGCUCGAAACUGCAGGGCUAGAGUCCUGGAGAGGAAGGUGGAAUGCUUGGUGUAGAGGUGAAAUUCGUAGAUAUCAAGCGGAACACCGGUGGCGAAGGCGGCCUUCUGGACAGUGACGUGA